CCAACCGCUAUAAAAGCCGCCCCAAGGCUCCAAAGAAAGGGCAUCGAAAAUCAAAAGGAAAACUCUCUCUCAAACAUCAUCUUGUGCAAGCCUUUUCCUGACUAAGCCUGGAGAACACCAUGUGAGGAACCAAUGAGCAACUCAAUAUUUCCGUAAUUGGAUGAACGAUCGAACGAUCUGAAGGAACCCGAACUCCGGACGAAUAGUCUACCGGAUCUACGCCCCCUCACGACCGAAAUGAGUUGGCAGCUAUAUCUAGUAGCGACUAUCCUAAUAUUCGAGGGUUGGAGAAGAAAGUGCACAAUUUCAUGUCAGAACAGCCGAAGUUGGAGAAGCCUUGAAUGUAUGGACGAGUAGAGCAACGGUAAUGACGCCAACCCCACCUCAGAGAACGGAUGGUGCUGAUGGAACCCCCAAAUCCAAAACGGCUCACACAACAACUCGGGAGCUUCUAGGAGAAGAUAGAGUCGGAUGCUCAGGUAUGGAUUUAACUACUAAAUGUCAAGAUAUUAUUCUAACCUUGCAGAGGCAACUCAAGGAAUAAAACAAAAAGAUUGAACAAAUUCCGAGAGUGCCAUCGAUCGUCAAAAGGAUCGAUGUGAACAAGUAUUCACCGCAGUCGUGGAAGCCCAAUGCAACUCCCCGGUGCUGAUCCCGAAGAAAUUCAAAAUGCUCGAUAUUCCGAAAUGUGGCAGUACAUGGGAAUCUCAUGAUUAUCAUGGAGUAUACAAGUGGAAUCAAAGGGAACGACGUUACGAUGGAAGAGAUCCUUUCAUCAAAGCCUAUUUGGGAGCGCAAAAGGUGGAAAAAUAAGUGAAAGAUAUCUUCUAGAUUAUACAACGGAGGACAGAGUCACACUAGGACUUCAUUGAUCGGCUCCAGAGAGAAAAUAUGUCGCUUCCGGAGGUUGAAAACAAUUGGGCGCUAUGGCAUUCACUAGGAAUCUGAACCUGGACAGUUCAGAGACCUUUCGAAAACUAAAGGAAAGCCUAUAAGAAUUCCUUGCCAAGACAUGUACCGAUGUAUACCAUCAAUACAAUACAUAGCUCAGAUAGAAGAAGACAUCUCAGUACUUCCCUAAUUCAGAGUGAGAUAUACACACA